rnacentral:rRNA from 1 species
CCUACGGGGGGCAGCAGUGAGGAAUAUUGGUCAAUGGGCGGGAGCCUGAACCAGCCAAGUCGCGUGAGGGAAGACGGUCCUAUGGAUUGUAAACCUCUUUAGGCGGGGAGCAAUGCCGGGCACGUGUGCCCGGAGGGAGAGUACCCGCAGAAUAAGCAUCGGCUAACUCCGUGCCAGCAGCCGCGGUAAUACGGAGGAUGCGAGCGUUAUCCGGUUUUAUUGGGUUUAAGGGGUGCGUAGGCGGAUUUUUAAGUCAGCGGUAAAAUGUCCGGGCUCAACCCGGGCCGGCCGUUGAAACUGGGGAGCUUGAGUGGGCGAGAAGUAUGCGGAAUGCGUGGUGUAGCGGUGAAAUGCAUAGAUAUCACGCAGAACUCCGAUUGCGAAGGCAGCAUACCGGCGCCCGACUGACGCUGAGGCACGAAAGCGUGGGGAUCGAACAGGAUUAGAUACCCGGGUAGUC